rnacentral:rRNA from 1 species
UUGGAGGGCAAGUCUGGUGCCAGCAGCCGCGGUAAUUCCAGCUCCAAUAGCGUAUAUUAAAGUUGUUGCAGUUAAAAAGCUCGUAGUUGAAUUUCAGGCCUGGCUGGACGGUCCGCCCUUCGGGUGAGUACUGUCUGUGGUCGGGUCCUACCUUCUGGCGAAGCGUCAUGGCCUUAACCGGCCGUGGCGGGGAACCAGGACUUUUACUGUGAAAAAAUUAGAGUGUUCAAAGCAGGCAAAUCGCUUGGAUACAUUAGCAUGGAAUAAUGGAAUAGGACAAUGGUUCUAUUUGUUGGUUUCUAGGACCGUUGUAAUGAUUAAUAGGGAUAGUUGGGGGCAUUAGUAUUCAAUUGUCAGAGGUGAAAUUCUUGGAUUUAUUGAAGACUAACUACUGCGAAAGCAUUUGCCAAGGAUGUUUUCAUUAAUCAAGAACGAAAGUUAGGGGAUCGAAGACGAUCAGAUACCGUCGUAGUYUUAACCAUAAACCAUGCCGACUAGGAAUCGGGCGAUGUUGAAAAAAUGACGCGCUCGGCACCCUAUGGGAAACCAAAG